UACGUAGGGUGCAGGCGUUAAUCGGAAUUACUGGGCGUAAAGCGUGCGCAGGCGGUUGUGCAAGACAGAUGUGAAAUCCCCGGGCUCAACCUGGGAACUGCCAUUUGUGACUGCAUGGCUAGAGUACGGUAGAGGGGGAUGGAAUUCCGCGUGUAGCAGUGAAAUGCGUAGAUAUGCGGAGGAACACCGAUGGCGAAGGCAUCCCCUGGACCUGUACUGACGCUCAUGCACCGAAAGCGUGGGGAGCAAACG
rnacentral:rRNA from 1 species